rnacentral:rRNA from 1 species
AACGAACGCUGGCGGCAGGCUUAACACAUGCAAGUCGAACGCCCCGCAAGGGGAGUGGCAGACGGGUGAGUAACGCGUGGGAAUCUACCCAUCUCUGCGGAAUAGCUCCGGGAAACUGGAAUUAAUACCGCAUACGCCCUACGGGGGAAAGAUUUAUCGGGGAUGGAUGAGCCCGCGUUGGAUUAGCUAGUUGGUGGGGUAAAGGCCUACCAAGGCGACGAUCCAUAGCUGGUCUGAGAGGAUGAUCAGCCACAUUGGGUCUGAGACACGGCCCAAACUCCUACGGGAGGCAGCAGUGGGAAUAUUGGACAAUGGGCGCAAGCCUGAUCCAGCCAUGCCGCGUGAGUGAUGAAGGCCUUAGGGUUGUAAAGCUCUUUCACCGGUGAAGAUAAUGACGGUAACCGGAGAAGAAGCCCCGGCUAACUCCGUGCCAGCAGCCGCGGUAA